GGAAUGUGGAAAUGGUGAAGUAAGUUUGCUUUAGGCGUUCCUGGAGUUAGACACAGAGCUAGGCACACAAUGGUAGGGAAGACGGAUGUUCUGUGUUUAAAAGGCAGUCAGCCCUGUGGAUGGCAUAGAGCCUUCACUUAAUGGGCUAGAUAGAUUCUGGCUUGUGCAGAGGAAAUCAGUCAAGACCACAUGAAGAAAGGAAGAAGACCAGGUUUGAUGUGGAGGCUGAUGAGUUUAGUCAUGGUUAUGUUGAGCAUAGAAUGUGCAGUUGGCUGUUGAAUGAAUGGAACUUAAUCUCAACAGUCACCUGAGUUGAAGAUAGAGUUUGAGGAGUCAUCCCAAUAUGGAUAGCAUUUGUUGUAAAUUAGAAGGUGGUAAAAACUUGCCUUUGGAAAAAAGUUUAAAAAUUGCAGUGAGACUUAUGAAUACUCUUCAACUUCACCUGUUGGAAUAAAGGUCUUUCUUGUAAUCAGGAGAUCCUGUUGACAUGAUAAAACAGAAAGAGUCAAAGAGGAUCAGAAAUAAAUGAAAUCUCUGACAACUAAACUGCUUAUGUGUUUAUCCUGUUGACUGAUUCUUUUCUGGAUUGUGCUCCUUGUGGGCAGGUUUAUUCUACAGGCCCCCAUUCAUUCCUCAGGAGUAACGCAGAAGGGACACUGACCAGCACAGCAGAGAGGGAGGUGUUUAAAAUGGAUUCUGUGGGUGUAGAGCCACUGUUUUCCCUGCAAAUGGUCUAGCAAAUCAACAGACUAUGUCCUCCUCUCCUACGUUUUGUCUGACAAGCAGCAUUUUUUUAAUAAAAGACAGGUGAACGAGUAAAUGAAUGCAGUGCAGAUCCAGUGCAGAUAGCUGCCUGCUGGCUGUGUUGGAACCAGGGAGACGUCAAAUGGUCCUCUAUCCUGAGCUUGGCUGCUUCAGGACAUCUCUAUUGCAGAUUAUAGUCUGGCUCGCAGCUGGCCAGAAGAGGCAGUGCACUGACAGACCACGUGGGGCUUACAUGAAGGGUGCAGUAGAUCUAACCAAUGAUGGUCACAAAUACAGUGAUGGACACUGGGAUGUGGUGGCCCUCAUCAGUGUGAGUGAACUGCACCAGGAGACUAUGGCUCAGCAGGAGCUCAGCUGAUCUGGGAACACCUGCUGGCCUGGGAAUGUCCUGAAGAUGGCAGAGAUUAAGAGCUCCUAAUCUGCAAGACUGGAUUAGAUGAUGUAUGUGCUUACUACGUGUUCUUGACAAAUGGGGUAGUGAGCAAAAACUGCAAGUCAUGUAGCUGGAGCAUGUGCAGAAGAUGGAAACUUUGUCCUCAGAUGACCUCGAGAUGCCUAGGAACAAAAAGUUCCCUAACUACGGAACUUAAUGUGAAGAGAAAAAGGAACAAGGAAUAUAAUGAGAAGCAAGGAGUCCCUUGAUUCGUAGCACACUGGACUUAUAAGACCCUUACAUUCCUACCAUCCAAUCAGAAGCCAUCAAGCUGUCCUUUUGCAUAACCACUCCCACUCCCAACUCCUUAAAUGUCUGUCCCCACUAAAGGAGACAGAUUUGAGCUUUGCCUUCUGUCUCCUUGCUGGCCAGCCUUGCAAUAAAGCUCUUUCUCUUCUCAAAAGCCUGUGCAAUAGUCUUGGCUUCUACGUGCAUUGGGCAGUAGACCCUUGCUCGGUAACAGAACUGUGUCCUGAAUCGCUGUCUUUUCUAAGUAAUCAUGUGAUCCUCAGAUAGCCAUGACUUCUAGGGAGAAGAGUACUGGGCAUAUCAGAGACUGGGGCUUACAAAGAUAACAUGAAUUGCUCAAGGUCACAACGUAGGUAAAUUCCAGAGCUGAGAUUCAAAUCUACAGCAAUCUGAUCCCAAAUGCAGUGCUCUUAGCCAAGAG
ensembl:lncRNA